CAGAUGUCAAGCAAAACAUCCACCAGUCAGCAUAAACUGUUGGAUACUUCACUGAGGUUACAAUUGAAACAACCAUUAUCAUCAAAUACUAUCAAGAAAGAACCAAUCAACUAUGGGAAAUUACUACUGAGACAGUUUCAUGAAGUUUCAUUUCUAGAGGAUAUACCCAAUAAAGGCUAUACAUGCAAGCAUGCAUUGAAGAUGAGGAUUGUCCAUUAUUUAUGUCCUGACAUCUCUACACGGAAAAAGAAAAAAAAAUAAAAUUAUAUGAUAUGUAUAUAGCCAUCACUUGAAAACAAUGGGACUUCAAAGCAGCAUCAAUCAAUUAAAUAUUGCUAGUUGCA